GUGCCGUUGGCUCAAUUGGAUAGAGCAUCACACUACGGAUGUGAGGGUUAGGGGUUCAAGUCCUCUACGGCACGCCA
rnacentral:tRNA from 1 species